AACGAACGCUGGCGGCAGGCUUAACACAUGCAAGUCGAGCGCCCCGCAAGGGGAGCGGCAGACGGGUGAGUAACGCGUGGGAAUCUACCCAUCUCUGCGGAAUAGCUCCGGGAAACUGGAAUUAAUACCGCAUACGUCCUUCGGGAGAAAGAUUUAUCGGAGAUGGAUGAGCCCGCGUUGGAUUAGCUAGUUGGUGGGGUAAUGGCCUACCAAGGCGACGAUCCAUAGCCGGUCUGAGAGGAUGAUCAGCCACACUGGGACUGAGACACGGCCCAGACUCCUACGGGAGGCAGCAGUGGGGAAUAUUGGACAAUGGGCGAAAGCCUGAUCCAGCCAUGCCGCGUGAGUGAUGAAGGCCCUAGGGUUGUAAAGCUCUUUCACCGGUGAAGAUAAUGACGGUAACCGGAGAAGAAGCCCCGGCUAACUUCGUGCCAGCCGCCGCCGUAAAAC
rnacentral:rRNA from 1 species